rnacentral:misc_RNA from 1 species
UGAGAUGGAUUUCUGCGAUGCUGCCAAUUCUGAAGACGAGGUCCUUUGGCUUCUAGACAUGCUGGAGUGGAAGUAAGUUCAGUGACUUCCAGAUAUCCGUCGGGUGACCAGUCACCUGGUUGUAGUAUGUCCACUUUGGCUAAAACUUGUACAUAGUUAUGCUGCUACAGUGGACGAUCAUUCAAGUUGUGCACUAAGCUGAAUUCCAACUUAAAGUUAUUUUUUCUGAAGUACAGUUCUAG